AUUGAACGCUGGCGGCAGGCCUAACACAUGCAAGUCGAACGAGUGGCGGACGGGUGAGUAAUGUCUGGGAAACUGCCUGAUGGAGGGGGAUAACUACUGGAAACGGUAGCUAAUACCGCAUACCAUCGGAUGUGCCCAGAUGGGAUUAGCUAGUAGGUGGGGGAAAGGCUCACCUAGGCGACGAUCCCUAGCUGGUCUGCGAGGAUGACCAGACACACGGGAACUGAGACACGGACCAGACGCCUACGGGAGGCAGCAGUGGGGAAGAGGGCACAAUGGGCGAAAGCCUGAUGCAGCCAAGCGGCGUGUAUGAAGAAGGCCUGCGGGUUGUAAAGGACAUUCAGCGGGGAGGCGUUACCCGCAGAAGAAGCACCGGAUAAGUCCGUGACAGCAGACGCGGUGAUAC
rnacentral:rRNA from 1 species